rnacentral:rRNA from 1 species
UACGGGGGGGGCAAGCGUUGUUCGGAAUUACUGGGCGUAAAGGGCUGGUAGGCGGCCACCUAAGUCCGACGUGAAAUCCCAAGGCUUAACCUUGGAACUGCGUCGGAUACUGGAUGGCUUGAAUUCGGGAGAGGGAUGCGGAAUUCCAGGUGUAGCGGUGAAAUGCGUAGAUAUCUGGAGGAACACCGGUGGCGAAGGCGGCAUCCUGGACCGAGAUUGACGCUGAACAGCGAAAGCUAGGGGAGCAAACGGG